rnacentral:rRNA from 1 species
UACGUAGGGGGCGAGCGUUGUCCGGAAUUACUGGGCGUAAAGGGUGCGUAGGCGGCCCUUUAAGUCAGAUGUGAAAGCCCGCAGCUUAACUGCGGAAUUGCAUUUGAAACUGGAGGGCUUGAGUGUCGGAGAGGGUAGUGGAAUUCCCAGUGUAGCGGUGAAAUGCGUAGAUAUUGGGAGGAACACCAGUGGCGAAGGCGACUGCCUGGACGAUAACUGACGCUGAGGCGCGAAAGCGUGGGGAGCAAACAGG